GAUGAGGAACGUAGCGAAAUGCGAUAAGUAAUGUGAAUUGCAGAAUUCAGUGAAUCAUCGAAUCUUUGAACGCACAUUGCGCCCGCCAGUAUUCUGGCGGGCAUGCCUGUCUGAGCGUCAUUUCAACCCUCAUGCCCCUAGGGCGUGGUGUUGGGGAUCGGCCAAAGCCCGCGAGGGACGGCCGGCCCCUAAAUCUAGUGGCGGACCCGUCGUGGCCUCCUCUGCGAAGUAGUGAUAUUCCGCAUCGGAGAGCGAUGAGCCCCUGCCGUUAAACCCCCAACUUUCCAAGGUUGACCUCAGAUCAGGUAGGAAUACCCGCUGAACUUAAGCAUAUCAAUAAGCGGAGGA
rnacentral:misc_RNA from 1 species